rnacentral:rRNA from 1 species
GAUGAACGCUAGCUACAGGCUUAACACAUGCAAGUCGAGGGGCAGCAUGGUCUUAGCUUGCUAAGGCCGAUGGCGACCGGCGCACGGGUGAGUAACACGUAUCCAACCUGCCGUCUACUCUUGGACAGCCUUCUGAAAGGAAGAUUAAUACAAGAUGGCAUCAUGAGUCCGCAUGUUCACAUGAUUAAAGGUAUUCCGGUAGACGAUGGGGAUGCGUUCCAUUAGAUAGUAGGCGGGGUAACGGCCCACCUAGUCUUCGAUGGAUAGGGGUUCUGAGAGGAAGGUCCCCCACAUUGGAACUGAGACACGGUCCAAACUCCUACGGGAGGCAGCAGUGAGGAAUAUUGGUCAAUGGGCGCAGGCCUGAACCAGCCAAGUAGCGUGAAGGAUGACUGCCCUAUGGGUUGUAAACUUCUUUUAUAAAGGAAUAAAGUCGGGUAUGUAUACCCGUUUGCAUGUACUUUAUGAAUAAGGAUCGGCUAACUCGGUG